AAGUGCCACAUCAUCAUCCAACUCCAUCGGAAGGGCGCAAAGUAAAAUGAAUAACUGAGUGCACAAAUAAGUACAAUUCAGCUACGAUUAAAGAAAUGCUCAGAGAUUAAGAAUGAGCACAGCGAGCUGAAUCUCUUUUUCACAUGAAGAAGUAACUCCGACUACAGCAUUCUCUCCGUUGGGGGUAUACUCAGAAAUACUAAGGAACUUCUGCUGUUUUGCCGUGUACUGAAGCAAAUCGUGCCACAUUAGAAUAAACAAUUCCCUUACGUUAAAUAUAUUACAUGAAAAAAAAUAAACAAGCAAUUCCCAGAUAUGGCUGAUUAAAAUCGCAUGUGAUCACAUUAGAGCACGAAAACAUGACUUGACUUCCUUUGCCCUCAAGGAGCUCACGUGUACUGCAAAUGAUAAUGCCCCCCCCCCCCAGCAUUAACUGUCUGUGGUGAUGUCGUGUGCUGAGCGUGGCUCUAGUUUUGAGUUGUCUUUGAACCCACGCUAUGUAACUAUUCUUGAGUCUCGCACACAAGCUGAUAUUAACUGCGCUUCUUCUGGGUUUGACCAGUUUAUGACUAAGACUUGCUCUCCUCCCCUCUCCGAUUUCUGAAAGAAUUGCACUGAUGCUGGGAGAGGAUUUCUGACCAUAGGGACUUCCUGAAUCUCCUUCAGAGAAUACCACGUAAGUGUCGCCGGCUACCACGCCAGAGACCAGCUCAGCUUAAUAGCAGCUACUCUGCCACAGCGACAGGGGCUUUGUCGAAUUGCAGAAGCUAUCUAGAAGGUACUUAAAGAUGGUGUACAUUCCACUUCUUUGAAAGGUCAGCUUGGGAAACCUGUCUAGAGAGAUAGUAAGGAUAAACCUAUCCUCCCAGCUCUGUAAUAUCGAGAAGCCAGCAUGGUUCUCUAGAGUAACCCGGUGGAAAAAUGCUGUCUGAGGUGAAUGUUUCAUAAGUGCUGUAAACCCGCCUUUAUGAAGAUCUCAGGUGAUUCACCAAUAACCUGAAAUCAGCCUGAAUCUGCGUGCAUUCAAGCAUUCUUGUAAGCGGAGACUAACAAGCGUGAGUCAGUUGUUGGAGACUAUGCUGUGUUAGCCUGGCAAAUAAGCUCCCAUUUGUUUUCAUGUCCUUCAUACAGAGGGACUGCGGACAAGCCAGGCCUCAGAAGAACGGAGGAGAACCCUCCUCCCUUGCCCGUGGGCGGUUGUGCCCAAGGGGUGUGGCUUCAGAGAUGUCCCGCCGAGUCGGGUAUCCUAGUUUACCCUAUGCCACGGACCUGGUAAACGUUGGGAUAGUGGAUGUGUCACACCCUCGAAAACUACAAAACAUCAUGACAUAUAAGGUAGAAUCCUUAUCGUAAUAAUCCUGUCAUCUUCAGACAUAAAAUGUGAAACUUC